rnacentral:rRNA from 1 species
CAUCAAGNNAGCUUGCNCCNUGGCUUCAGCGGGCGNCCCGGGUCAGUAAUGCCUANCNNUCUGCCUGNUAGUGGNGGAUAACGUCCGGNANCGGGCGCUAAUCCCGCAUCCGUCCUGAGGGAGAAAGUGGGGGAUCUUCGGNCCUCNCGCUAUCAGAUGAGCCUAGGUCGGAUUAGCUAGUUGGUGGGGUAAAGGCCUCCCAAGNCGACGAUCCGUAACUGGUCUGAGAGGAUGAUCAGUCACCCUGGAACUGAGACACGGUCCAGACUCCUCCCGGAGGCAGCAGUGGGGAAUAUUGGACAAUGGGCGAAAGCCUGAUCCAGCCAUGCCGCGUGUGUGAAGAAGGUCUUCGGAUUGUAAAGCACUUUAAGUUGGGAGGAAGGGCAGUAAGUUAAUCGGUUGCUGUUUUAAAAUUACCAC